CCUACGGGUGGCAGCAGUGGGGAAUAUUCCACAAUGGGGGAAACCCUGAUGCAGCGACGCCGCGUGCGCGAUGAAGUAUUUCGGUAUGUAAAGCUCUGUCAGCAGGGAAGAAAAUGACGGUACCUGACUAAGUACCUACUGCUAAAUACGUGCCAGCAGCCGCGGUAAUACGAAUGGAGCACACGUUAUCCGGAAAUACUGUGUGAAACGGGAGCGUAGGCUGUAAGGCAAGUCUGAUAGGAAAGGCCAGGGGUCAAACCUGGGAGUGCAUUGGAUACUGUUUAACUGGAGUGACUGAGAGGCAAGUGGAAUUCCUAGUGUAGCGGUGAAAUGCGUAGAUAUUAGGAGGAACACCAGUGGCGAAGGCAGCUUGCUGGA
rnacentral:rRNA from 1 species